UGGAUCCUUAACCCACUGAAUGAGGCCAGAGAUCAAACCCACAUCCCCAUGGACUCCACGUCAGGCUCUUAACCCACUGACCCACAAGGAAAACUGUGUAAAUAUCUUAUUUCCAUUUUACUAGUUUAGGGAGAAACCACCACCAUGUAAGGGCAGAGCCCUCUUUACAAAGAAACUGAGGAACCAAGAAAUCUGUCACUAAGCUAGAUCAGACUGCCAACACUUUGGAUGACAGUCAGGAAGAUCAUAGUGACCUUGUUAAAUCCAAGAAACGGUCAGCUGGAAACCUGACUUUCCACAGGAGCAAGAUAUUUAAAUGCUGUUCGCUCACUGUCCAAACAUCAGUUUGAUUUUUUUCCUCCAGAACCUCCAUCUGCAUUGUCAUGAUACAAUCAACCCUGCCAGGAAAUGAUAAUCACUUGACUUGGUGGUCAAUGACAACUGGUCAUCAUUUAGAAGAAACCCAGGCCAGAACAACAGCCUCCCAUUGCCAUUAUUUCCAGUGUGAUCAUGAAUAAGUCAUUCAACAUGCAGAGACUUAAUUCCACAGAAUGCUACCCAGUGGCCA